AACAACGCUGGCGGCGUGCCUAACACAUGCAAGUCGAACGGGGGGAACAUGAAGUAUUUCGGUACGGAAUGCGCCCCUAGUGGCGAACGGGUGAGUAACACGUGGGCAACCUGCCCCAGACUGGGGGAUAACAUUGUGAAAACAGUGCUAAUACCGCAUGACAGGGUUCCGGGCAUCCGGGACCCUUGAAAGGAGAAAUCCGGUCAGGGAUGGGCCCGCGUCCAAUUAGCUAGUUGGCGGGGUAACGGCCCACCAAGGCGACGAUUGGUAGCCGAACUGAGAGGUUGAUCGGCCACAUUGGGACUGAGACACGGCCCAGACUCCUACGGGAGGCAGCAGUGGGGAAUAUUGGGCAAUGGGCGAAAGCCUGACCCAGCGACGCCGCGUGAAGGAUGAAGGUCUUCGGAUUGUAAACUUCUUUGAUCAGGGAAGAAAGAAAUGACGGUACCUGAAAAACAAGCCACGGCUAACUACGUG
rnacentral:rRNA from 1 species